GACGAACGCUGGCGGCGUGCUUAACACAUGCAAGUCGAACGAAGUGGCGCACGGGUGAGUAACGUGUAAUCACCCUGCCCUUCAGAGGGGGACAACAGUUGGAAACGACUUCUAAUACCGCAUACUGAAGGUGGGGAUUUCGUCUGUUUAGUUGGUGGGGGGGGUAACGGCCCACCAAGGGGAUGAUCAGUGGCCGGUCUGGGAGGGGGAACGGCAACAUUGGGACUUGGACACGGCCCAGACUCCUACGGGAGGCAGCAGUGGGGAAUCUUCCGAAAUGGACGAAAGUCUGACGGAGCAACGCCGCGUGAGUGAUGACGGCCUUCGGGUUGUAAAGCUCUGUUAAUCGGGACGCGGUACCGGAAUAGAAAGCCACGGCUAACUACGUGCCAGCAGCCGCGGUAAUAC
rnacentral:rRNA from 1 species